UACGAAGGGUGCAAGCGUUAAUCGGAAUUACUGGGCGUAAAGGGUGCGUAGGCGGUUAUUUAAGUCUGCCGUGAAAUCCCCGGGCUCAACCUGGGAAUGGCGGUGGAUACUGGAUAGCUAGAGUGUGUCAGAGGAUGGUGGAAUUCCCGGUGUAGCGGUGAAAUGCGUAGAGAUCGGGAGGAACAUCAGUGGCGAAGGCGGCCAUCUGGAUCAACACUGACGCUGAGGCACGAAAGCGUGGGGAGCAAACAGG
rnacentral:rRNA from 1 species